rnacentral:rRNA from 1 species
AGUGAACGCUGGCGGCAGGCCUAACACAUGCAAGUCGAACGGCAGCACAAGAGAGCUUGCUCUCUGGGUGGCGAGUGGCGGACGGGUGAGGAAUGCAUCGGAAUCUGCCCAUUUGUGGGGGAUAACCUCGGGAAACCGGGACUAAUACCGCAUACGACCUACGGGUGAAAGCAGGGGAUCUUCGGACCUUGCGCAGAUGGAUGAGCCGAUGCCGGAUUAGCUAGUUGGAGGGGUAAAGGCCCACCAAGGCGACGAUCCGUAGCUGGUCUGAGAGGAUGAUCAGCCACACUGGGACUGAGACACGGCCCAGACUCCUACGGGAGGCAGCAGUGGGGAAUAUUGGACAGUGGGCGCAAGCCUGAUCCAGCCAUGCCGCGUGUGUGAAGAAGGCCUUCGGGUUGUAAAGCACUUUUGUUGGGAAAGAAAAGCAGCCGGUUAAUACCCGGUUGUCAUGACGGUACCCAAAGAAUAAGCACCGGCUAACUUCGUG